rnacentral:rRNA from 1 species
GCCAGCAGCCAUAUCACCCUGCAACUCACAACUGGCAAUUGGCAACCCACUGAAGCUAAGCAGGUGUGAGCCUGGCCAGUACCUGGAUAGGAGACCUCCUGGGAAAAACUAAGGUUGCUGCUGGAA